UGCAGGCUGCUCUGCGGAUUUGCCUCUCGGAUACUGUUUACACACCAGACAGGAGGCAAAGGCCGUGAGGGAGCUGUGGCUGUGUGCAGUGCAAACACGGCAGUUUGGGCAAAACAAACAACAGGGCAACAGAGGAGAGAGCAAGCCCCACUGUCUACUCAGAGGAAAACACUGGAGAUACGCAGAAAGAACUUGGUAACAUCACCCACAGCAGCUCAGGGGUUCUGGGCGCCUGGACCAUCUGGCUUGCUUAGAGCACUGGGAAGUGCUAGGAAACGGUCCGGCUCUUGUGGAUGACUUCAUGUUCUGGCCUUUCGAGACUUAUGCUGUUUCAAGUACCGACACUGGAUCCAUGCUCACAAAUAUGUGUCCAUAGAUUCACUUCACGUGGAAGUGAUGCUGGCUAUGAUGUUAAAGUUGGUAUUAUCGACUUGCAGAAAUGAUACCUAAACAAAUGAUUUUCAGUCUGGAACCAGCACAUGUGAAGAAGCCAACACCUGUCAUUAUGAGACCAUGCCAGAUCUACACCAGUAACAAACAAACAAACAACACUCAUUUGGAAACAUUCACUCUACUCUAUUUCAAACACUGCAGGCAGUGAUAUGGAAGACCGAAGAAAUCCCAAAGACACCAGGGCCUUGAGAUGGUGCCAGGGAUUGGCAAGACACACUUGUACUGCAUCCACACAGCUCAAUGGCCCGCCCAAGACUUUAAAAGUUGGAUGGUGUCAGGUGUGCCAGGAAGACAUGCUACUGCCAGUCUGUUUGGAUCCGAAUUUUCCACCAGACUUGGGUGAUAUGGACAAGUCACUAUCAAUCUAAGCUUCGGUUUCCCCAGCAACAGAAAAGAAAGAGUAGGGGGAAAGGUCUGGAGCAAUUUCUGUCUGCAAGGAACAUUUUGUGCCCCUGUGCGACAUAUGGCUGCUUUUCACUUUGCCCGAACCCAUUGCAUUCCUGUAACUAUACAUUUUAUUUAUUCUUUCCUUUUUGACUCCUUAAAACAACAUAGUUGUUGCUUAUUGAGGAAUAAAUUGAAAAUCACAAAUUUGCAAUGGUACCAGAACUGACUUAUGAAAACAUGUUUCCUACCAAGUUCUAUUUACUAAAGUUGAAUUGUAGACUCAAUCCCACCAUUCCUGGUCCAUGCUCACAAGGCAUCAGAAAAUCAAAACUGGGAAGUGAAUGGACCAGCUCUUCAUUCAUUUCCUGUUAACCAACAUCACACUUCCGACACAUUUCAGGUUGCCUACACCAAUCAGAAUGAAAGGAACGUGGCAGCAGACAGCCAGUUACUAUCAAUUAAAAUGUCUAGAUGGGACUUUUGACUUCCGGCUCAUCUCUUUCCUUCUAGUGAGACUUAAGGAAAAAUCCAGAUAGUAGAUUGAUAUUAGAAGGGAGAGAGACAGCUCCAAGCAGCAAGGGGAAAUGUUCCUCUAAGUGUGCAGACAUGAAAGCUGGGGAAGGAAAGUUAAAAAUUACCCGAGGGCAGGCAGGACACCUGCUAAAGCCUUUGCCCGGAUCACAGCUGGAAAAAAAAAUGAAAGCCAAGCAAACAAGUGUCCUGCAUGCAUGCGAUCAUUCUUUUGUCUUUUCCCCCUUAUGAACAAUUACAGUAUGCAAAGAUUAGGGGGAGAUCUCCAAGUAUUAGGAUGAAAUUUUCCUUAGGCUCUGCAUAUAAAUAGCAGAGGCGGGGAGUGAGCCUUGGAGAACAAGAUGCAUUUGGGCGCCCUGCGCCUGGAAGCCGGUGGUAAUUAAUGCAUAGUGGAUGACUUUGAAUGAAGGAUGAAUAGGGGGCCUAACAAUGGGUAGG